rnacentral:misc_RNA from 1 species
UGAUGAAAGGCACAUCAAGUGAUCAUCAACCGACAAUGGAAAUGGAUGUUCAAAAGAAUCCAUGGUCAGGAGAUCGAACGAUGCCAAUUAUUAUUCAAGAUGACACUUACAGAGACGUGAUCAAUUGGAAGUCAUUACCAAAAUCAUUUCUACCAAGUAGUCUAGAUCUCACGGAAGAAGAUACUAGUAUAUGUUCGAAAUCAAAAGUUUUUCUCCUAAUGGUUGAACCAGAUGACAGUAUAGCUGCAGUCAAAGCGUAUAUUCAGGAGGAAAAGGGGAUUUCUUUUAAAAAACAAAAGUUGUUGAAUGAAGAUGGGGGAGUUAUGAGAGAUGCACAGACGUUAGAGUCUGCGGGAAUCAAUAAAGGAUCUACCUUAAUUCUUCGAUAUGCACCAAUAACACAAAUCUAUGUGUUAACGCUUACUAAUCGCAGGUUUAAGUUAAUGGUUGAGAGUGAUGACACCAUUGCAGAUGUUAAAGCUGCCAUUCAGGAAAAAGAAGGUAUCCGAUUUCAUAAACAGAGACUAAUCUAUAAUGGACGACAACUCGAAGAUGAUACAUCUCUCGUAGACUAUGGAAUUCAAUAUAACAGUCAACUGACACUUGUCUUGAGAUUGUGCGGUUGUUGAAUAUUAUGGUUGCUUUCUAAUUGCAUAAUCUAUAUGCAAAUUCACUUGUUAUUUCCGUUGGUUUAGAUAUAUCUUUUAUGAUCCAUGUAAAAUACUGUUAUUUUCCCUUUUG